rnacentral:lncRNA from 1 species
CUGAUUCCAACCAGUUGCAGGUUUCAAAUGUGCUUUCUGUGAGAAAGUCAAGAAGGUGCCACUCCCAGCCAAGGAUAAUCCUAAUCCCUGACUUCAGCUUCUUGCUAUCUACACCAUCUGUAAAGGUUACCUAUCCUUAGACAUGUUAGAAACCAUAUCAGUAACCAUAUGAUAUUUAAAAUCUUGAGAUCAAUUGUGUCGAGUAAAACAAAUUAAAUCAUGCCAGAUAAAAAUUAUGAAUUUUUCCAUAAAAGCAUCAUCUUCAGGAAGGACCUCAGGAGGGUGUUCUGCCAUCAUCACGUUAUGAAAAGCAUUUGAAAGAAAUGCUGACUGUUGUUGUUGACAAGGAGGAGGGGAUCCUUCCUGAGGAUGGUAUAACUUCGCGGGAGCCCUCCCAGAAAGACUCCUGUGUUAUCUCCAAUAACAGUACUACCAUUCAGGAUGGCAGAGGAACCUAGAGAAGAGGAGAUGAGAAAUACACCUUCACCAGGAUACUCUAGUUUUACUAGCUCAGCAAAUAAUAAAAUCCUUCACCAGCCUUUGGGAUACC